UAUGCCUAUGCAUCAUUAUUUUUCUACUUUGGGAAGGUACUCGGCCGGCAUACCCCGACUCAAGGGUGUGUGAAAAUAUGUUAUUAGACCCGACUAAGGAUGGGAGGUCAUAGUGCAUAAUGUAUAUUUCAAGAAUUAUGUUGACUCAAAUAUAGUCAAACUACAUGUACAAAUAUGAAUUUUGAACAAGUUUUAUCUUUCUCUAUGCUAUGUGUGUUAUAUGCAUCUACCAUUGUAUUUUCUUACUUUUGAUAUGAUAUCAUCUUGUUAGAGAUGAUAUGAUACGCUAAGCAAUCAUGUUUAGAACAUUAUUUUCUGACAAUUUUUUCAGGAAACAAAGAACAGGAAGUGUGGAGCAGAGCAUAGAACACGUUUGAGUUUCAUGCUUGAUAAUGUAAACUUUAUUAAGAUAGGUUAAGUCAGUCAUUAAUAAACAAUCAAUGUGAAGGUGUCUAGCCCGGACUAUGACUGUCCAAGGUCAUUUUGAACAAUGCAAUGUAUGAACUUUAUGUAUGAAUUGUUUUAGACACGUACAGUCCUCUUACCGUUAUGGGCACGUAAUUUUUGAAUGAAUGAAUUUAAGUAUACUGAUUUCUAGUUAGUGCUUCCAAACACAUAAAAUACGUAACGUUUAAAAAAUUAAGAGAAAAAAAAAGGCCACAAAAUCGGGUAACUCUGACCCGGCGCCGCGUGGAGGCCCUCUUGAUCUGCGUCAGGGUGUAUAUCACAGUGACCCCGUACAAAUUGAUCCAAACGCUGUCACAACUGUCGCAAUGAUUAUGAUUACGACGUGUGGUGUGUGUAGCCGAUAAAUACAGACCACCACAGCUUAGACCCCCAGAAAACACUACCAAAAGUGCGCUGUCUGAACUUACUUUUUGGCGACAAAAUCUCUUGAGCCUUUUUUCUGUCUACUAUGCUGAUUAUUCUGCAAAAAUGGGGAGACAGAGGCUCGAAUGAGAAGACCGACGGGGGUAGUAGGAUGCAGACUUUAGAGAGAUGAGAGUGCAGGAGGAACUAUUGUACGACGAUAUUGGAAGAGCACGGGGGUGGUGAAAACUUAAGCUGGAAUCCAUAAGUUUGUGUGUUUUGCUCCCAAAUUUUUCAACAUACACUUACCACCGCCAAGCUUACUCCCGCAAUAACUUUGUUUCACAUUAGUGUCUCCGCCCAUCAGCCUAUCUACAAGCCAGAUUUUUGAACUAGUGCCACUAAUUGAGCACUGCUGCUGCACUUGCGCCAGAGCUGUCCGAGUAUGAUUAGUGGCUUUCUUGUCAAUCCACCCAUCUCUCUUAUCACAUCAGAAGUUAGUGACUUACGGGCUUCUACUUUGGAACACACAGUGACAAGUGUGCGGACGUGGACUGUCUGUGCUCCUCCUAGGGGCCGUGAAAACCCCAAUGUGGGGCGUGGACGUGACCCGGAAUGGCUCUUUCCAUCUUUAGCUCACUCGACUACUUAAACCUCAAUAUCUCAACUGUCCACUGGUCCUCGUCAUUACGUUUUUGAAAUUGGGCUAGAUCACAUAACUGGCCUCUGAUGUAGAGUUUCUUCAAGUCCUUCAUGUUGGCUGGCCUCAGCCAACUAUAUAGACUCAGUCCCAUUGGAAAUGAAGUCCAUUUUCGUGCAGCGAGGAAGGAAUUCCGAAAGGGGAAUUGGUCACUUUGAAUUUGUGACUUAAUAGAUUUAGGGGGUUUGCAUUGCUUUCACCUAUAAAAUAGAACCCUCCCCAAGACAUUGCUAGCCUUUGCACAACACCAAAAAUCAAAUUUCUAAGACAUGAAAGUGUUGACAAUUCGUUGAAUGUACAUGGCCUUUAUUGUACUUGAAAUCACCAAUGAAAAAUCCUUCAAGGACUUCGAGGUUUCCUUGGUUAGCAAGCCUCUUGGGCAUGUAUUCUAAAAACUAACACUCAGACGUGUCAUUAGAGUUUCAUAAUUUUGUUGAUAAGCAAAAAAUUAAACGCCAAUCUCAUUUUCACAAUGACAAACUGUUGGUUUGACUAGUUUAAGGAAGUUUGUUCCAAAACAGCUAGCCAAACUGGCAACAAAAGUUUUAAUUUGCUGCAACAAAAAUUGAUACCACUUAAUAAAAUCCAUUACAAUUAAAGAUAAUAAAAAAUCAGAAUUACAGAAGAAGAAGAAGAAGAGAAUACGAAGAGCAAAGAAAAGAAGAAGCCUCCAACUCAUGAUUCCAAUUUCUAACACUGCUUUGUACUUCUUUUAUAUGUUCAUCCACUCACCGCGUUCAUCACAUUGGAAGUUAGUGAGCUUGGGGCAUUCUACUUUCUGCAAGUAAACUAAUUUUGGAAAUAGUCUACCCAGUUCUUCCCAAUUCAUUUUAAGAUCACUCAAGUACUUUAAACACCAUAUCUCAACUGUCCACCGGCCCUCCUCCUAAUUAAGUUGCUGAACCUGGCCCAGAUCACUUAAUGUCCCUCUUCUGAUGUAGAGCUUCUUUAGUUUCUUAAGAUCUGCAGGCCUCAUCCAACUAGGUGAAC
rnacentral:lncRNA from 1 species